CUCAAAAAAUAGAUCUCAGUUCGGGACUGUAGGCUGCAACUCGCCUACACGAAGUUGGAAUUGCUAGUAAUCGUGGAUCAGCAUGCCACGGUGAAUACGUUCCCGGGUCUUGUACACACCGCCCGUCACACCAUGGGAGCUGGUAACACCCGAAGUCAGUAGUCUAACCGCAAGGAGGACGCUGCCGAAGGUGGGAUUAGCGACUGGGGUGAAGUCGUAACAAGGUACC
rnacentral:rRNA from 1 species